UUAAUGUAUCACUAUGGCAGGACCUGCAAGAAUUUGCAUAUCUCUCAAUGCGUUGGCGGUACCAGAUGGUUGCAGACUCUCAGCUGUAGAAACUGAAGGUGGUAGCUGACUGCAGUCAUUUGUCUCCACUUGUCAGAAGUGGACAUAAUUGCUGCUUAGAAAGUCACCAACAUUUUGAAAGCUGAUCCAAGUUGGAAUUCUUUCUGAAGUGCUACAGUUGAAAGAUUUUGUGGGUUUGUGUUUUGUAAUAAAUGUUGCUGUUUUGAAGAUAA